rnacentral:rRNA from 1 species
AAUCCAUAGGUUAAUGAGGCGAACCGGGGGAACUGAAACAUCUAAGUACCCCGAGGAAAAGAAAUCAACCGAGAUUCCCCCAGUAGCGGCGAGCGAACGGGGAGGAGCCCAGAGCCUGAAUCAGCAUGUGUGUUAGUGGAAGCGUCUGGAAAGGCGCGCGAUACAGGGUGACAGCCCCGUACACAAAAGCGCAUGUGCUGUGAGCUCGAUGAGUAGGGCGGGACACGUGGUAUCCUGUCUGAAUAUGGGGGGACCAUCCUCCAAGGCUAAAUACUCCUGACUGACCGAUAGUGAACCAGUACCGUGAGGGAAAGGCGAAAAGAACCCCGGCGAGGGGAGUGAAAAAGAACCUGAAACCGUGUACGUACAAGCAGUGGGAGCACCCUUUGGGGUGUGACUGCGUACCUUUUGUAUAAUGGGUCAGCGACUUAUAUUCUGUAGCAAGGUUAACCGAAUAGGGGAGCCGCAGGGAAACCGAGUCUUAAUUGGGCGUUAAGUUGCAGGGUAUAGACCCGAAACCCGGUGAUCUAGCCAUGGGCAGGUUGAAGGUUGGGUAACACUAACUGGAGGACCGAACCGACUAAUGUUGAAAAAUUAGCGGAUGACCUGUGGCUGGGGGUGAAAGGCCAAUCAAACCGGGAGAUAGCUGGUUCUCCCCGAAAGCUAUUUAGGUAGCGCCUC